GCCAGUGUGGUAUAGUGGUUUGAGUGUUGGACUACAACUCUGGAAACCAGGGGUUUGAUUCCCCACUUGGCCA